rnacentral:rRNA from 1 species
AACGCGAAGAACCUUACCUACUCUUGACAUCCAGAGAACUUAGCAGAGAUGCUUUGGUGCCUUCGGGAACUCUGAGACAGGUGCUGCAUGGCUGUCGUCAGCUCGUGUUGUGAAAUGUUGGGUUAAGUCCCGCAACGAGCGCAACCCUUAUCCUUUGUUGCCAGCGCGUAAUGGCGGGAACUCAAAGGAGACUGCCGGUGAUAAACCGGAGGAAGGUGGGGAUGACGUCAAGUCAUCAUGGCCCUUACGAGUAGGGCUACACACGUGCUACAAUGGCGUAUACAAAGGGAAGCGACCCUGCGAAGGCAAGCGGAACUCAUAAAGUACGUCGUAGUCCGGAUUGGAGUCUGCAACUCGACUCCAUGAAGUCGGAAUCGCUAGUAAUCGUAGAUCAGAAUGCUACGGUGAAUACGUUCCCGGGUCUUGUACACACGC